rnacentral:rRNA from 1 species
AGAAUCAACGCUGGCGGCGUGCCUAACACAUGCAAGUCGCACGAGAAAGGGACUUCGGUCCUGAGUAAAGUGGCGCACGGGUGAGUAACACGUGACUAAUCUACCCUCGAGUGGGGAAUAACCUAGGGAAACCUGGGCUAAUACCGCAUAACACUUACGAGUCAAAGCAGCAAUGCGCUUGGGGAGGAGGUCGCGGCAGAUUAGCUAGUUGGUGGGGUAAUGGCCCACCAAGGCGAUGAUCUGUAUCCGGCCUGAGAGGGCGCACGGACACACUGGAACUGAAACACGGUCCAGACUCCUACGGGAGGCAGCAGUGGGGAAUUUUGCGCAAUGGGGGGAACCCUGACGCAGCAACGCCGCGUGGAGGAUGAAGUCUCUUGGGACGUAAACUCCUUUCGACAGGGACGAUAAUGACGGUACCUGUAGAAGAAGCCCGGCUAACUCGCGCCAGCAGCCGC